rnacentral:rRNA from 1 species
UCGCGAAUCAGAAUGUCGCGGUGAAUACGUUCCCGGGUCUUGUACACACCGCCCGUCACACCAUGGGAGUUGGAAAUGCCCGAAGCCGGUGACCGAACCUUAGGGACGGAGCCGUCGAAGGUGGAGCCAAUGACUGGGGUGAAGUCGUAACAAGGUAGC